GCAUAAUAAAUAGUCUUUUAAUUGAGGACUGGAAUGAAGGGUUAAUACUAAAAAGAAAGUUUUAUUUUAUAAACUUGAAUUUAAAUUAAAAGUAAAAAUGCUUUUAUUGAACUUUGGGACGAGAAGACCCUAGAAGCUUAAAAUACUUAAGGGAAUUUUUGGUUGGGGCAACAUUUGAAGAUAAGAAUUUUUAUGAAAUAAAUAUAGCAUAAGAUAAUUGAAGUUACUCUAGGGAUAACAGCAUUAUUUAAUUAGCAAGUUCUUAUUAAUAAUUUAAGUUUGUGACCUCGAUGUUGAAUUAAUU
rnacentral:rRNA from 1 species